UUCCUUCCCAACGGAAAGGCGUGCGUGAGCGCAAGCCCCUCCCCGGAACUGCGGUGGACGCGGCCGAGGAGGGCUGGUGCAGCAGUGUCUGAGGUGGUUGGUCGGCGUCCCUCUACGGAUCUAUUUUUCUCGGCCUUUCUGAAAGGGGAGAACGUGGCUCGAGUUCCAGUCUGACGACUUGUUCAUAGAUCACUUGUUUUUAAAUCACUUAAAAGCAACCAUGAAGCUGAAAGAGAAAAAAUCGAGGCCAGAGCCACCAAACUAUGGCAGAAUUCAGAGGAAGGGCAUCAGAGUUGUGGGAAAAUGGAAGCAGGUGAAGAUUGACCCAAAUAUGUUUGCAAACGGACAGAUGGAUGACUUGGUGUGCUUUGAGGAACUGACGGAUUAUCAGUUGGUCUCCUCUGGGGAGGGUUCCUCCAGUCUCUUCUCAAAGGAGGAGCCCAAGAAGAGAAAGUCACAAGCUGUUUCAGAAGGAGAGGAGGAAGGAGAGUCUACCUCCUCAAAGAAGAAGAUGAAGUUGAAGAAGAGUAGAGCUGUGGAAACUGAAGGAAGCAGUGCCCAGAAAGUGUUUGAGGGCAAAGAUACUGAGCCAGGGCCCCAGGGAGAUGGCACAGUUUGUCCUGAUCCAGAGGUAGGGGAGAUGGCAUCAGAAAGCCCGGCCCAGACGGUUCCAAAAAAGAACAAGAAAGGGAAAAAAAAAUCAGAGCCUCCCCAGGGUACUACUCCAAAGGUGCCCAAAAGAGCAAAGACGUGGAUGCCUGAAAUGCGUGAUCACAAGGCAGAUGUAUCAGCUUGGAAGGAUCUGUUUGUACCCAAGCCAGUUCUCCGAGCGCUCAGCUUCCUAGGCUUCUCUGCGCCCACACCAGUCCAAGCUCUGACCUUGGCACCUGCCAUUCGUGACAAACUGGACAUCCUUGGGGCUGCUGAGACAGGAAGUGGGAAAACUCUUGCCUUUGCCAUUCCAAUGAUUCAUGCGGUGCUGCAGUGGCAGGUGAAGAAGAAGCCUAUCCCAGCUCUAAGAAACACAGGAGCACCACUUGGGAAGACCAGUAAUGAGGCUGGAGUUGAGACAGGAUCACCAGGCAGGGCUGGAACUGAGUCUGGAGCUUUGCCUGCUGAGAUUGGAAUUGAGGGUGAAGCACUGCCCAGUGAGGCUGGAGCGAAGGCUAGAGCACCACGCAGCCAGGCAAGAGCCAAGAUUGGAGCUACAGUCUCAAACCAGGUGCUGCCCUCCUGUGAUGAUGAUGAUGAUGAUGAUGAUGAUGAUGAUGAUGAUGAUGAUGCCGGUGAAGGACCUUCUUCCCUGAUCAGGGAGACGCCCAUUCCCAAACAGGAUGAAAACAAGGAGGACAAGCUUGAUGAAGAGCAGACUAGAAAGUUCAAACAAGAAUUGGGUGGCAGAAUUGCACAUCCAAGGCGUCCUUUGCUUGGACUGGUUCUGACUCCCACUCGAGAGCUAGCCGUUCAAGUCAAACAACACAUUGAUGCUGUGGCCAAGUUUACAGGCAUUAAAACUGCUAUUUUGGUUGGUGGAAUGUCCACACAGAAACAGCAGAGGAUGCUGAACCGUCAGCCUGAGAUUGUGAUUGCCACUCCAAGCCGGCUGUGGGAGCUAGUUAAAGAAAAGCACCCUCAUUUGAGCAACCUUCGGCAGCUCAGGUGCCUGGUGGUCGAUGAGGCUGACCGCAUGGUUGAGAAAGGCCACUUUGCUGAGCUCUCAAAGCUGCUAGAGAUGCUCAGUGAUUCCCAGUACAACCCAAAGAGACAGACACUUGUUUUUUCGGCCACGCUGACCCUGGUACAUCAAGCUCCUGCUCGAAUCCUUCACAAGAAGCACGCUAAGAAAAUUGACAAAACUGCCAAACUUGACCUCCUCAUGCAGAAGAUUGGCAUGAGGGGCAAGCCCAAGGUCAUCGACCUUACAAGAAAGGAGGCCACGGUAGAGACACUUACAAAGACCAAGAUCCAUUGUGAGACUGAUGAGAAAGACUUAUAUCUGUACUACUUCCUGAGGCAGUAUGCAGGCCGCACCUUAGUGUUUGCCAACAGUAUCUCCUGCAUCAAACGCCUCUCUGGGCUCCUCAAAGUCCUGGAUAUCAUGCCACUGACCCUACAUGCCUGCAUGCACCAGAAGCAGAGGCUCAGAAACCUGGAGCAGUUUGCCCAUCUGGAGGAUUGUGUUCUCCUGGCAACAGAUGUGGCAGCUCGGGGCCUGGAUAUUCCUAAAGUCCAGCAUGUCAUCCAUUACCAGGGCUGCUGUCACUGUGACCAGAGAUAGUGGUGUCCUUGGCUCUGCACCUAGUGUUCCCACACUGCCUCCAAGAUGUCAGCUAAAGCCAUAGAGAGCGGGGGAGGAGAUGCCAUUGACCCCUUCCGGCCGGAAUCCCCCUCUGAUGACUUAGCUUUGGAACCAAACCCUUCUGACCACCCAAGGCCAAGCACAGUUUUUCGGAGCAAAUCUCAAACAGAGGUGCGGGAAAAGAGGACGAGCAGCCCUUUAAACCAUGUAAGUAAACAGUUGAAAAGUUAAGAAAUUAAUAGUUUGAAUUAAAAAUAUGUCUGCCAUGAUUCCUAAAAAUAUGAUGGAUCCAAUACUGUUAGCAUGGACCUCUUUUUGGUAGAUUUUCUAAAUCUCUCUUUUCCUAAUUAUCAAAUGUAUUCAGGAAAGUCUUUGACUUAGUAGUGCCCAUUUUUUAAGGGUUCUGACAUUUAAGUUAAAUUUCACUAAUAUGGUUGUAGUAUAAAGAUCUGCCUUAAAUUCUUUUGCCUUAUUUUUUUGAUCUUAUUUUUUAACCAAAGGAAUAAAAGUAUAACAGGUAAGUUAAUUUUUAGCACUGUCCAUUGACUUCUUGUCAUAGCAGGUGAAAGCUUAGCUUCUUCGGUCCACCGUGACGUUAUUUCCCUCCCUGUGUUCCCUCAACGUGUAUCAGUUUUUACUAAAUCAGAAUCAAUGUUUACAUUACUACGACUCUGCAAAUAUUGUGCACUGCUGAGCCAUAUAGUUCUCUGACUGUGCCUCCUCCUUGUACGCCCUUCAUUCUUCUUCUUCAAUAUUAAUGAAAUUGGAGCCCUUCUGCACUUCUCUAGGAUAACCCAACCCCCCCUUUUCCUAGCCAACGUGAUCUCACACAGCCACAUGCAGUAAGUAGCUCCCUGCCCGGUCUCCCUGCUUUCACAUUCUUCAUUUUUUCUGUGGAAUUAAUUUCCUGACUAUAUUCACUUGCCUGUUUUCUAACAGCUAUUUUUUUCCCCAAAUGUUUUAACAUUUGUCACAUGCCUAUCAAAAAUAUUUUCCGUCUACUAAGCCACAUCUGUUCCAUUUUUUUCUUGGAGACACUUUUCCCCAAUCUUUUGUCUUCCUACUCCCAUAUAGACUGGUGUUCCCCUAGGCCUGCUCUAUGCCUCUUUUCCUGGGAUAUCUGUGUGAAGUCAUCUGGGAUCUCACAUAACUCUGCUCUCUUAUGUUGGAUCCCCUAUGUCCUAGAUUCUGUUUCCCUCUUGUCUUGUUAUACUUCCUUGUUUUACUGGAGCACAUUUUCGUGGGAAAAGGGCACAUGGGCAGAAAGUUUAUAGAGAUCUAGCCUCUCUGAAACUCCUUCUAUUUGAUAAAGUAUAGAAUUCUCAGUUGAAACUAAUUUUUGCAGUUCUAAAGACACUUCCCUCUCAUCUUCUCAUUUACACUGUUGCUCUUAAACCUGUUGACAUUGUAUGGUACAUUGUACAUUACCGAUUGUAGUCAUUUCCCCCCAUCCCUUCCUUCUCGGGAACCUUUUAGUACCUUCCCUCUCCCUGGGAUUUUGAAAUUUCAUAAUUUGGUUUGGUAUAGACCUUUUUUGUGUGUUUCUUUGACAUUCUGUUUUUUUCUUCCAGGUUCCUAUUAUUCGGAUGUUGGAAGUCUUAGACUUACCAGAUCGCUAACUUUUUUCCCCUCCUGCUUUGCAUUUUGUCUUUUUGUCCUGCUUCCUGGAGAUUUCCUUGACUGUGCUCUAAUCCUUCUAUUGAAUAUAUUGUUUUGUCUACCUUAUUUUCAAUUUAUAGAGUUCUCUUAUAUCCUGUCAUUCUUUUUUUCACUGGUGCAAUUUCAAGUUUUCAUUUGCUCCUGAGUUUUUAUCACUCCCAUCAAUUCCUUCUUCCUGUUUUGUUUUGUGUUUUUUUAAAGCAUCCUUAUAUUUUAUUUUAUUUAUUUAUUUUUUGGCUGCAUUGGGUCUUGGUUUCUGCACGUGGGCUUUCUCUGGUUGCGGUGAGCUGGGCCUACUCUUUGUUGGGUGCGUGGGCUUCUCAUUGCAGUGGCUUCUCUUGUUGCGGAGCACAGGCUCUAGGGCGUGUGGGCUUCAGUAGUUGUGGCUCAUGGGCUCUAGAGCGCAGGCUCAGUAGUUGUGGCGCAUGGGCUCAGUUGCUCUGUGGUAUGUGGGAUCUUUCUGGGCCAGGGCUCGAACCCGUGUCCCCUGCAUUGGCAGGCGGAUUCUUAACCACUGCGCCACCAGGGAAGUCCCAUUCCUUCUUCCUGUUUUGAUCUCUUACUUGUUGGGGGCUUCCCUCAAACGUGUGAUGGUCCUUGGCUGUCUGUUAAGAUCUAAUUGGAAGCAUCACUUGGACAACUCGUUAACUGAUGGGCCUCACUGCAAGGAUUUGGGGACCACGCCUCUGAACCCUGAGCCUGCCUUGGGUUCUGUAAGACGAACUGGUUUUCUUGUUCCUGUCCUAGUCACUCUCCGUAGGUACCAAGGUUGUGCUUCCUCCUUUCUGCCAUGUCAGUUACCACUCCUUUAUCUAGUCUUUUCACCUUUCAAACAUUAAAAAUCAUCUGCUGUUUA